CGUGUACCGGUAAAUACUGAUUUUUUAUUCAAAAAUAUACCGAUAUCAUGUAAAACCAUCUGACCACACUGCCUCGCCGCAGAGCAAAACAAAAUGUCGCUAACUGCCGUGUUUCGUAAAUCAAAACUCAUAGUGUUUAUAUGUUUCCGUGGUGUUACCUAUCGGCCCCCAGAUGACAAUCUAGGAAAUUCCGGUUCGGAGUUGCGUGAAAUAAUAUGUUGUAGAGAUUCUGGAUAAACCUACCAUAAAAUAAAUGCUUUCAUUUGCUGGCCCGUCAAAGGUUAAGCUAAGCUGAUGCCAAGCAAAAGUUGGAAACUAGCAAAUAUUCGAAAAUUGAUGGUCCGCAAGGAUGGAAACGUUUUAGAUGAAAGUGAUUGUUGAAUAUUCCAUUGAAGCUGAAAAGUGAAUGACGACGGAAACCACUGAUGGGAUAACAGAACACACUGCCACCGAUGACCAACCGGGACCAAUUGAACAAGCAACCUGAUGCAGUGUUUACGCAACAUCUGGACACAAGGGAAGUCGGAUGGCGAAUCAAACUUGCACUACGAAUGGGAAACAGUUGCACUAUUCCGCUGUCGAUGGAAGAUGUAAAUCCGGUGGGUACUCAUCAAUCCGGUAACGACGAGACUCGUGAUCACUGCUGUCGUUUCCGUCGCCUGGUUCUGGACAGGUUGGAACAGGAAGUAAAUGCAAGUUGAAAUUUCAAAGAUGUAGGGAGAAAAUAAAACGUGUGCGUCAACCGGAUUUAACCCUUAAAGGCGCAAAUCAAUUUUUUUAGAAUUUUGUGAAAAUCGUCUAACAGCUAUAUCACAUUAAUAUAAUAAUUUUUAGACGAUUUUCAGGAUGUUGUUUUAAAAUAACAUUGCGCAUUUAAGGGUUAAACCACCAUAUAAGGAAAGAAGAAGGAAAUGGACGCUGAUGCUGCCAACGGUGGAUCAAAUGAAAACUAUAGGGGAGACUGAGGAGACUUGAUCCCCGGGGAGACUUGAUCCCAUCAUUGAAACUCAAAGGCGGAUCAGAAUACAUUAAUCGAAUAUACUAGAAAGUUGCGUAGUUUAAUCUAAACAUAAGUUUCUUUAACACAAAAAAAUAAAUUGGACAUGUGUUACCGAAUUUUUACCGAUUUAAAGAAAAAAAUCUCAGAAGAACAGAAGAUUUAUUUUCCAAAUUUUCAAACUUUUAUACAAUUGAUAAAUUCACCCACUGCAUCCUAUACUUUUGCAUACAGAAAUACAGGAGAAUGUCAAUUAUAUGAAUACGCUAUGAUUGAGCUGAUUUUUUCGUUCAACUAUAUUUGUACUAAAGUUUGCUGAAAUAGAUGCUAUGGGUUCACUUGAUCCCUUCAAACUCGUGGAGAUUUGAUCCCCUUCGCCAUGCUUCAUACAAACUACUGAAAAUAACCAAAUUCAAACCAGAACAAUUGAAGUCAUUGUUGCCACAAAAUAAACAUGCCAUAAACUUGUGUAAAAUCUCUAACGGUUUCGAAGGUAGUUUGGAUAUCUAAACCAGGUGCGCUACUGUCGUCAUGUUUUUUUUGUGGCUGAGUGCGACAGAAAUGACAGCGGUUAUUCCUCUACCCAGUCAAACUAGUC